rnacentral:rRNA from 1 species
UACGUAGGGGGCUAGCGUUGUCCGGAUUUAUUGGGCGUAAAGAGCGUGUAGGCGGCCAGGUAGGUCUGCUGUGAAAACUCGAGGCUCAACCUCGAGACGUCGGCGGAAACCAUCUGGCUAGAGUCCGGAAGAGGAGAGUGGAAUUCCCGGUGUAGCGGUGAAAUGCGCAGAUAUCAGGAAGAACACCCGUGGCUAAGGCGGUUCUCUAGUACGGUACUGACGCUGAGACGCGAAAAGCGUGGGGAGCGAACAGG